ensembl:lncRNA
GAGAAAUUCUGCAAACACACACUACUGAGACAGAAGCUGUUCAGUCAACUGGGUAAGACAGAGACUUUAUUAUCAGAUUUUGAUGCUUAGAAUUAUUCUUUAAAGAAUCAAAUAGCAAAUUUUUAUGUUUCAGGAGCAAGGCCUAAGAAACCAAAGUUUCAAAAUAAUCAAUGUUAAUCUGAACAAAGGUGCUGGAGGAAAUAAUAUUUACCUCUGGUACAAGAAGGGAAGCAGCAAUCCCAUCACCAGAUUGCAGGUUACAUUCACAGAUGAAAUGCAAAUUGGUUUGAGGAACGCAGGUUACCAUAAGGUGGAUAAAGACCUCAAUGCAGGGGCUGGAGGAGAUAACAUCUUUCUCUGGUGCUACAAAGGUACAACUGAGUAUGACAACCCUAUAGUGGAACUUAAGGUCACCACAGAUGCAACAGAUGAAGCCCAAAUUUACCAGAAAGGCUGGGAACGACUGGCGUGUGACCUGAAUCGCAAUGCUAACGACAACUGGAUCCAUGUUUGGGUGAAGAAAGAGAAGAAAAUGUACAUCUCUGACAUCAAGGCAACUACCUCUUUUGCAUUUGAUAACGAGUAUUUUUCCCAGGGCUACACCCGUGUGGAUGAAAAUGUGAAUCGAGAUGCAGGAGAACGCUCUAUCUUUCUUUGGUAUCGUCAUUCUCUAACACAGUCCCAAAGCAUCAAUCUCCUGGAUGUCUCCACUAACAAUGAGGAAGAGGAAAGCCUUCAGAUACAGGGUUAUACCUGUGUUGGUGUUAAUCUCAAUGAAGGAACAGGAGGCCCCCCGAUAAAUGCCUGGUACAAGAAGGGUUCAGACCAUGCCAUCCAGACCAUCACUGUAAUCAUUCAACAAGAAGUGAGUCCUUAUGAAAAGGCUGGCAUCCAUGUCAUUGGAAAAAAUCUGAAUACAGACAACAAUGGCACCCCCUUGUACCUGGCAUACCAAUGAGAUCAGGGGUUUCAUUUUCUGUAUGCCAGGUGAUCAGUAUACCUGUCAAAUUAGCGUAGCAAUACAUAGCUUAGUACAAGAUAGCACAACAACACAAAUACCAUGUAACAUGUUAAAGCAAACCUGUGGAUCAAGUCAGUUUAACACAGUCUUCAUGCAUUUCUUGCAUUUAAUCUUCUAAACAGAUUGUAUUUGAGAUAUCUAUAUUGUUGUUGUUGUUACUGCUUAUGCCUUUUGUGAUAUGGGUCAACAUGAAUUACUUUGCUAACAAAUAAAAAAAAGUUCCAUAUCAAUAAUCAUUGUCAGUCUUUUUUCUCCUUGCCUGAUCAAUGACAACUCAACAGA